rnacentral:lncRNA from 1 species
UCGUCGUCGGCGUCGUCGGACAACUCCGAGCGCUCCAAUGCAGGGAGCAAGCCGGCCAAGGUCGUGGCCGGGUUGUCAGUUCUUCCGCCUCCCGCGCCUCCUCCUCCUCCGCCGCCGCCAAUGCCGGCGCCGUACAAAUCCAGGUCCUACUUCUCUGGCUCGUCGCGCGCCUCGCCGGCGAACUCCUCAUCCAGUGACUCCUUGUCCGCGCCAUCGACGCCGACCUACUCUUCGGACACUGCGGCAUCACGAAGCCGCGUGCCGGAGCUCUCGAAGCUCCCGCCGAUACCCG